AGUGAACGCUGGCGGUAGGCCUAACACAUGCAAGUCGAACGGCAGCACAGUAAGAGCUUGCUCUUACGGGUGGCGAGUGGCGGACGGGUGAGGAAUACAUCGGAAUCUACUUUUUCGUGGGGGAUAACGUGGGGAAACUUACGCUAAUACCGCAUACGACCUACGGGUGAAAGCAGGGGAUCUUCGGACCUUGCGCGAUUGAAUGAGCCGAUGUCGGAUUAGCUAGUUGGCGGGGUAAAGGCCCACCAAGGCGACGAUCCGUAGCUGGUCUGAGAGGAUGAUCAGCCACACUGGAGCUGAGACACGGUCCAGACUCCUACGGGAGGCAGCAGUGGGGAAUAUUGGACAAUGGGCGCAAGCCUGAUCCAGCCAUACCGCGUGGGUGAAGAAGGCCUUCGGGUUGUAAAGCCCUUUUGUUGGGAAAGAAAAGCAGCAGGUUAAUACCCCGCUGUUCUGACGGUACCCAAAGAAUAAGCACCGGCUAACUUCGUG
rnacentral:rRNA from 1 species